rnacentral:rRNA from 1 species
GACGAACGCUGGCGGCGUGCUUAACACAUGCGAGUCGAACGAUGAAGCCGGAGCUUGCUCUGGUGAAUUAGUGGCGAACGGGUGAGUAACACGUGAGUAACCUGCCCUUGACUCUGGGAUAACUGCUAGAAAUGGUAGCUAAUACCGGAUACGACCCUCGGAGGCAUCUCCAGGGGGUGGAAAGAAUUUCGGUCAAGGAUGGACUCGCGGCCUAUCAGGUAGUUGGUGAGGUAACGGCUCACCAAGGCGACGACGGGUAGCCGGCCUGAGAGGGUGACCGGCCACACUGGGACUGAGACACGGCCCAGACUCCUACGGGAGGCAGCAGUGGGGAAUAUUGCACAAUGGGCGCAAGCCUGAUGCAGCAACGCCGCGUGAGGGAUGACGGCCUUCGGGUUGUAAACCUCUUUUAGUAGGGAAGAAGCGAAAGUGACGGUACCUGCAGAAAAAGCACCGGCUAACUACGUGCCAGCCGCCGCAGUAA